UCUAAAAGAGAAGCGAUGGCAUACUUACUCCUUCCGCGAUAGCGGAUUCGCCUCGGCGAAUGAGUGGGGUGUCAUCAAACUGCCGACUGUUUACCUGACAGUUACGCAGAAUUCUGGUCAAAGCCUUCUUUGGCCUGAACCGAUCGCACGAUCGUCAUGGGCAGCGUAGCUGCCCUGUAUGUUCAACCUUUGUCCUCGAAACCCAUUAAGCACUGAAUGAGAUUUGGGCGAGCCGCCGGCGUCUUACAGCGGGGGAGCGCGCAACGCGGGCCUGUAGCUCAGUUGGUUAGAGCGCACCCCUGAUAAGGGGGAGGUCGGUAGUUCGACUCUACCCAGGCCCACCAUCUUAGCCAAACACCUUCACGGGGCUGUAGCUCACCUGGGAGAGCACCUGCUUUGCAAGCAGGGGGUCACCGGUUCGAUCCCGGUCAGCUCCACCAAAUCCUAUUCUGCUGCUUUCACAUCGGGGCCUUCUGCAUUCAUGUUGAAGACUUCAAUCUGGAAGCAGGCUGGUGAUUCAGUCGGGCUUUAACUGAAUCUGUCCCGCAGGUUUCAACGGCCCCCCGGGCGGGCCUUCUUCCCCAAAGAAAAGGUUUGGAUGUUUGACAACAAAAAUAAUUGUGUAACCCCCAUUGGGAAGCUGCUUGUCCGCCCCGAGGCGCCCCGGCCAUCAGCGAAAGUUUCCAGUAUCGUAUACAUUAAAAGCCCAACCCCAACCAUGAGUCACCAAUGAUUCAUGGAAGGGUUCAAGUAAAAAAAAAGGCUUUAUUAAGUUUUAAUUCAAACCCCCGCGGGGGGGGGGGGGGGAGUUAUUUUCACGCGGAAAAAAUGGGAGAUAAAUUUUAAAAAGGGAAGGAAGGGGAGUUCACCCCCCCCUCCCCUGGG
rnacentral:tRNA from 1 species